rnacentral:tRNA from 1 species
GCAAUUUUAGUGUAAUGGCUAACACAAUGGUCUCCAAAACCAUUAAUGAUAGUUCGAAUCUAUCAAAUUGUGCCA